rnacentral:rRNA from 1 species
GGCGGACGGCUGAGUAACGCGUAGGAACGUACCCCAAAGUGAGGGAUAAGCACCGGAAACGGUGUCUAAUACCGCAUAUGGUCUUCGGAUUAAAGCAGCAAUGCGCUAUGGGAACGGCCUGCGUCGGAUUAGCUAGUUGGUGAGGUAAUGGCUCACCAAGGCGACGAUCCGUAGCUGGUCUGAGAGGAUGAUCAGCCAGACUGGAACUGAGACACGGUCCAGACUCCUACGGGAGGCAGCAGUUAGGAAUCUUCCACAAUGGGGGCAACCCUGAUGGAGCAACACCGCGUGCUGGAUGAAGGCCUUCGGGUCGUAAACAGCCUUUGUAUGCGAAGAAUAUGACGGUAAUAUACGAAUAAGGGUCGGCUAACUACGUGCCAGCAGCCGCGGUCAUACGUAGGACCCAAGCGUUAUCCGGAGUGACUGGGCGUAAAGAGUUGCGUAGGCGGCUUAUUAAGCGAGUAGUGAAAUCUGGUGGCUCAACCAACAACACAUUGCUCGAACUGAUAGGCUUGAGAAUGGUAGAGGUAGUUGGAAUUUCUUGUGUAGGAGUGAAAUCCGUAGAUAUAGGAAGGAACACCAAUGGCGUAGGCAGACUACUGGACCAUUUCUGACGCUGAGGCACGAAAGCGUGGGGAGCGAACCGGAUUAGAUACCCGGGUAGUCCACGCCGUAAACGAUGGAUGCUAGCUGUGGGGGGUAUCGACCCCCUCCGUAGCGAAGCUAACGCGUUAAGCAUCCCGCCUGUGGAGUACGGGCCGCAAGGCUAAAACAUAAAGGAAUUGA